GAUGGGGAGAAGGAGAGGUAGAGAUGGAUAAGGAAGGGAAGCAGGGGAAGGGACAUUUGUGGAUGACAGAGACAUGCAACAUUUGGCAGCUACUCGGACAUAAUUGGCCACUAAGGACAAACACCAGCCAAGCAACUGUGGGUAGCCUUCUCGGAGCAAAUUAAACCUCAUCAAUGAGAACUGUCAAGUAGAAGUACCCCAGGACCUCCUCGCCAUCUCCCUUGAUGCUGGAUUACCUGCUGCACACCAGCAUUGCCUCCGUUCAGAAUGGCGAUCCCCAGCUUCAGUGUCUCAACCACCAUGGGGCUCAUCUCACCUGUCAAGGUGAAGAUUUGAUUAAGUUACCAUGGAAAGAGGUGGUCCGUCAUACCUACUGGGCCUUCUCCAGUCUUGCUAAUGUGACUUGAGGUCUGGGUGUGCUAGCUCUGUGGCAGUUACCUAGGGUCUACCUAGAAACAGUCACCUUUGCUGGCACUUAUCAUCUGAAGGACCAUCUCUGCAGCACCACGCUCGUGCAGCCUUGCUUGCUGAUACAGUGUUUUUUGCUUCUCCAUCUCCUUCUCCUAGGAAAAGAAGUCAUAUGGAAAGAUUUGCUCUCAGCCCCUUCAGUGUACUCAGCUGUACCGUCUGCUAAUGUUCCCCUUGAGUAAAUGCAACACGGUAAAGUGA